rnacentral:misc_RNA from 1 species
UUUCCGUAGGUGAACCUGCGGUAGGAUCAUUAUCGAAAUACUUAUUUAGCGUUCGGUGCUAUCCCAUUGUUUUAUUUACCCUGUUGCUUACACAUGUUGAUUAAUAAUACCUUCUGUUUGAGAAACUUUAAUAUGUGUAAGAUUCAUACAUGGCUAGCCGGGAUGAAGACCAUGUACAAAACACUGUUAAGAAACACUGCACUGAAUAUUUUAAUACAAUGAAAUAAAACUUUCAACAACGGAUCUCUAGGCCCUUGCAUCGCUGAAGAAAGCAGAAGA